CUGGCUCAGGAUGAACGCUAGCGACAGGCUAACACAUGCAAGUCGAGGGGCAGCAUAGAAGUAGCAAUACUUGGUGGCGACCGGCGCACGGGUGAGUAACGCGUAUGCAACCUACCUAUCAGAGGGGAAUAACCCGGCGAAAGUCGGACUAAUACCGCAUAAAACAGGGGCACCGCAUGGUGAUAUUUGUUAAAGAAAUUCGCUGAUAGAUGGGCAUGCGUUCCAUUAGGUAGUUGGUGAGGUAACGGCUCACCAAGCCGACGAUGGAUAGGGGAACUGAGAGGUUGGUCCCCCACACUGGUACUGAGACACGGACCAGACUCCUACGGGAGGCAGCAGUGAGGAAUAUUGGUCAAUGGGCGGGAGCCUGAACCAGCCAAGUCGCGUGAAGGAAGAAGGAUCUAUGGUUCGUAAACUUCUUUUGCAGGGGAAUAAAGUGCAGGACGUGUCCUGUUUUGUAUGUACCCUGAGAAUAAGGAUCGGCUAACUCCGUGCCAGCCGCGGC
rnacentral:rRNA from 1 species